rfam:Exophiala dermatitidis NIH/TT8656 unplaced genomic scaffold supercont1.2, whole genome shotgun sequence.
GGGAGGAUGGCCGAGCGGUCUAAGGCGUGCGACUCAAGAGAAGAAAGUCUUCCGAUUUUCCAUCUUGGGACCUGAGUACAGGUUUCUGUCUUCGCAUGGAGCAAUCCGCGUGGGUUCGAAUCCCACUCCUCUCA